UACGUAGGGACCGAGCGUUGUCCGGAAUCAUUGGGCGUAAAGAGCGUGUAGGCGGCCACUUAAGUCCUGCGUGAAAUCUUGCGGCUCAACCGCAAGCGGUCGUGGGAAACUGGGUGGCUAGAGUGCGGGAGAGGAGAGUGGAAUUCCUGGUGUAGCGGUGAAAUGCGCAGAUAUCAGGAAGAACACCCGUGGCGAAAGCGGCUCUCUGGAACGGUACUGACGCUGAGACGCGAAAGCGUGGGGAGCGAACAGG
rnacentral:rRNA from 1 species